rnacentral:rRNA from 1 species
AGAGUUUGAUCAUGGCUCAGGAUGAACGCUAGCUACAGGCUUAACACAUGCAAGUCGAGGGGAAACGAUAUUGGAAGCUUGCUUCCGAUAGGCGUCGACCGGCGCACGGGUGAGUAACGCGUAUCCAACCUGCCCACCACUUGGGGAUAACCUUGCGAAAGUAAGACUAAUACCCAAUGACGUCUCUAGAAGACAUCUGAAGGAGAUUAAAGAUUUAUCGGUGAUGGAUGGGGAUGCGUCUGAUUAGCUUGUUGGCGGGGUAACGGCCCACCAAGGCAACGAUCAGUAGGGGUUCUGAGAGGAAGGUCCCCCACAUUGGAACUGAGACACGGUCCAAACUCCUACGGGAGGCAGCAGUGAGGAAUAUUGGUCAAUGGGCGAGAGCCUGAACCAGCCAAGUAGCGUGCAGGAAGACGGCCCUAUGGGUUGUAAACUGCUUUUAUAAGGGAAUAAAGUGAGAGUCGUGACUCUUUUUGCAUGUACCUUAUGAAUAAGGACCGGCUAAUUCCGUGCCAGCAGCCGCGGUAAUACGGAAGGUCCGGGCGUUAUCCGGAUUUAUUGGGUUUAAAGGGAGCGUAGGCCGGAGAUUAAGCGUGUUGUGAAAUGUAGACGCUCAACGUCUGCACUGCAGCGCGAACUGGUUUCCUUGAGUACGCACAAAGUGGGCGGAAUUCGUGGUGUAGCGGUGAAAUGCUUAGAUAUCACGAAGAACUCCGAUUGCGAAGGCAGCUCACUGGAGCGCAACUGACGCUGAAGCUCGAAAGUGCGGGUAUCGAACAGGAUUAGAUACCCUGGUAGUCCGCACGGUAAACGAUGGAUGCCCGCUGUUGGUCUGAACAGGUCAGCGGCCAAGCGAAAGCAUUAAGCAUCCCACCUGGGGAGUACGCCGGCAACGGUGAAACUCAAAGGAAUUGACGGGGGCCCGCACAAGCGGAGGAACAUGUGGUUUAAUCCGAAGCAACGCGAAGAACCUUACCAGGUCUUGACAUCCAACUAACGAAGUAGAGAUACAUUAGGUGCCCUUCGGGGAAAGUUGAGACAGGUGGUGCAUGGUUGUCGUCAGCUCGUGUCGUGAGAUGUUGGGUUAAGUCCCGCAACGAGCGCAACCCUUGCUAUUAGUUGCUACGCAAGAGCACUCUAAUAGGACUGCCGUUGACAAAACGGAGGAAGGUGGGGACGACGUCAAAUCAUCAUGCCCCUUAUGACCUGGGCUACACACGUACUACAAUGGAUGUUAACAGAGGGAAGCAAGACAGUGAUGUGGAGCAAACCCCUAAAAACAUUCUCAGUUCAGAUUGCAGGCUGCAACCCGCCUGCAUGAAGAUGGAAUUGCUAGUAAUCGCGGAUCAGAAUGCCGCGGUGAAUACGUUCCCGGGCCUUGUACACACCGCCCGUCACACCAUGGGAGCCGGUAAUACCCGAAGUCAGUAGUCCAACCUCGUGAGGACGCUGCCGAAGGUAGGAUUGGCGACUGGGGUGAAGUCGUAACAAGGUA